AGCCCCGCCAGGAUCGGCUCAAACCUCAUGUCCAGCUGAUCAAGACAGCCAUCUCCCCUCCCCAGAGGCCUGCCAAGCCCAGUGAGAAGCCCCGACUGCGGCAGAUACCCUCGGCUGAGGACCUAGAGACAGAUGGUGGGGGAGUGGGACCUAUGGCGAAUGAUGGCCUGGAACAUAGGGAGUCAGGCCGUGGGCCGCCUGAGGGCAGAGGGGCCGUUUCUCUGCAGCAACACCAACAGGUGCCACUCUGGGAGCAGCAGCAUCUUGCUGGGCGGCUCUCCCAGGGAGGCCCCGGGGACUCUGUGCUGCUACCUCUGGCCCAGAUUGGACACCGGCCCCUGUCCAGAACCCAGUCUUCCCCAGCCGCACCUGUCUCCCUGCUGAGCCCAGAGCCCACCUGUCAGACCCAAGUCCUCAACAGCUCA
rnacentral:lncRNA from 1 species